CCCGUAAACCGAUGCCAAACUAGCGAUCCGCCGGUGGAUUUUUAGCCCUGGUGGGUAGCUUCCCGGAAACGAAAGUCUUCCGGUUCCGGGGGAAGUAUGGUUGCAAAGCUGAAACUUAAAGGAAUUGACGGAAGGGCACCACCAGGAGUGGAGCCUGCGGCUUAAUUUGACUCAACACGGGGAAACUCACCCGGCCCGGACACCGUAAGGAUUGACAGAUUGAUAGCUCUUUCAUGAUUCGGUGGUUGGUGGUGCAUGGCCGUUCUUAGUUCGUGGAUCGAUUUGUCUGGUUUAUUCCGAUAACGAGCGAGACUCUAGCCUACUAAAUAGUAACGAGAUUAUCAAUGUCUCAGUUGCUUCUUAGAGGGAUUUUCGGUGUUUAGCCGCACGAGAUUGAGCAAUAACAGGUCUGUGAUGCCCUUAGAUGUCCGGGGCUGCACGCGCGUUACACUGGCGAAAUCAGCGUGCUGUAUCCAUUCUCGAAAGGGAUUGGUAAACCCAUGAAAAUUUGCCGUGCUUGGGAUCGGAAAUUGCAAUUAUUUU
rnacentral:rRNA from 1 species